rnacentral:tRNA from 1 species
GGAGAGAUGGCAGAGUGGUUUAUCGCGGCGCUCUUGAAAAGCGUUGUAUCCGCAAGGAUACCGGGGGUUCGAAUCCCUCUCUCUCCG